rnacentral:lncRNA from 1 species
GUGCCUCCACAACUCCAACACUUGCUGCCACUAUAGCCUUGCUUGCACUUGAUGAACUCAUGAUUUCUUUUCUCUCCUUUGGGUAUUCUGAAUUCUUUUGGUAGUGAUUGUGAAUGUUUAAGUGUUUGAUGAAGGAUAUGAGCAUGAAGCGCUCUUUAUAUGGGAACUAGAAAGGGUGGGCCUUUCCACCAAUUACUAGAGGCGGUUUAGAGUGUAAAGCCAAUGGUAUAUAUAUUUCUUUUCUUGUCUUUUUGUCACACUCAUUACCACUAACUAUACAAAUGAGCACACGGUUUUCCUUAUCAAAUCCACCUAAGCCUCAGGUAUGGGAGGAAACACCACCUGCUUUUGUUUGUUACAGUGAAAAUGUGAAUGUAUAUACAGAUAAAAUGUCAAUAGCAUGUCAAUUAAAGUAACACGUAUUAAUACUAACAUAUCGAUACACACUAGGUUUUUUUUUUUUAACAAAUUCUAGCUACUUGAAUCUUUAAGUGCAUGAACCAGAGAAAAAAUGGAUAACUUCCAUAUUUGGAAAAUGAGUAAUUUUGAUGAUAAUAAAUCAACACAGUAAUUAUAUCCUCAUCCAUGAGAAGAAACUAGUUGAAUGUAAGGAAUUUGUAAGGGUGGGCCUUUCCACCAGUAACUAGAGGCGGUUUAGGGAGUGUAAAGCCAAUGGUAUAUAUUUCUUUUCUUCUCCUUCUGUCACACUCAUUGCCACUAACUAUACAAAUGAGCACACGGUUUUCCUUAUAAAAUCCAACUAAGCCUCAGGUAUGGGAGGAAACACCACUUGUUUUUGUUUGUUUUAGUGGGAAAUUGUCAAACUGUUUCCAAGACAAGAUAAUCUAUUCAGCUAAACAACUAUAUCCUUUUUUUUUUUUGGGAUAAAAAUUAAUUAACUCAGAUUUCAAAGAUUUUAGAUUUCAUUUUUCUAAAUAGUACUAUCCAUACAUCAUUUUUUACCUUAUACUCACUUUUAUUAGUUUUUGUUCAUUAAUCUUUUUCAUUCAUUCGAUCCAAUAGCUGGAAAUUAAGAGAGUGUAUGAGAGGUAAAAUUUGGUGUAUGGAUAGCACUACCCUUCUUAUAAAUAAAUAUCUAAGAAAAUUGCUACUAAAAAUUACUUAGAAAACAAACUUAUUGAGAGAAUAAAUCUUACAUCAAGUAAAAUAAGUCUUAUUUGAUAGUUUAAAUGAUUUUGGCAUCUCUCCCUUAUUGUGAGUUGUGUUCGGAUGGAUACUCACAUUCUAAUAUGAAAUCAAAGCAGGCUAUGCACUUGUUGAGUCAAGGGUCUACGUGCCCACACGUUAGCUAAUUAAUGUGGCCCACGUGCUAGACUUAAAAUGACCCCACACUUCUUUGUCAAUAAUUGCGAUAUCAUCAAAAAGUGGUGUAGUCUUUUUCGCGUGAUGCCUUUAUAGUAUUUCUCCGGCUGGAUUUGGAUUCUCCGGGUGGUGUAGUCUUUUUGAUGAGUUUGCAAUUGCAGUAUUUCUUAUAGCAUGAGUGGCCUCUCAUUCCUGAUCGAGAAAUUUCUCAUGUGGUUCUUCUUAAGCAAGGCUUCUUGUUGAGGAAUAAAUGUUAUUAUUCACUUUAUGAUGAUACCUGCCUUCACUUCUUCGAUUUUCAAGUGGUUCGCCUUUUGAUUUCAAGUGAUUUUACCCUGAAAUAAUUCUAGCCUUUCUUAAAUUACUUUCAAGCAUGUCCAGUCAGUCCAGUCAUUUAGCUACAAGCUUCAUACUUAAAUACUCCUGACUGCUCAAAUAGUCUUAAACAAUUUUAACUAUCUGAGUGGGCUUAAAUAUUCUUAACUACCUAAACAGGCUCCAAAUUACGUGUCCAAAUAGAAAUUACCUAACUACGUUGAUAAAUUUCAAUGGAAGAGAGUAUACUGUAUGCAUUUCUGUCGCUCCAUGUCAUAGUACCAACUUUGGUGGGAAAUUUUACACAAUGUCAAUGAUUUCCGGAGUUCUUGCAUUCUCUCAUCAUCGCCCAUAUAUUGCGUAUGCUUGCACAGGCCUAUAAAUUUUGAAUAAAAAACGUUUGAAUACUGGCAAAUUUAACGCCAUUAUAGGAUGAUAAAUGUUCCACUCAGGACAAAGUAACUAGUAGCUAAGUGUGUCCUCUGCGGAGUCCAGGGUGAAUCUACAAUUCACCUUAUCCGCGAUUGUGCAUUUGCUAAGUGUGUCUGGCUUGCUACUCCGAUUGGUAUCCCUCCUUCUCCGCCUUAUGUCCUCUCGAUGUUGGAUUGGAUUCUGAGUUGGACUUCUCACCUCAAUCCAUCGAACUUUGCUCUUGGUUUAAUGGUGCUUUGGGCAAUCUGGGGUGCACGAAAUAACCAUCUCUGGAAUGACUGUAUGGACUCUCCUGACAUCAUCGCUGCUUGGGGUCUCUCUUGGUGGCAAAAGUUCCAGAGAGUUGCUCCCCCCCCCCCUCCCUGAGACUCGCUACUCGUCACCAAGUCCCUCAUAGGUCGUCCCGCCCUCCUGCCCAUUUCCUUCAAGCUAGGGGGUUUUCAAAACAAUAUCCUCGAGAGUGAUUCAUUCCAGAUUGUGACGCAUCUACAUAAUUCUUCCAAUUAUUUUUCCGACAUUGGACUCUUCCAACUAUUUGUCCGACAUUGGACUCUUAAUUGAAGACUCGCGUGUGAUCCUGUCUUCAACCACUAGAGCUUAUGCUACCAUGUUCGUCGCCAAGUCAAUCGUAUUGCUCAUCGCCUUGCACGGUUUGCCUUUACUUCAAGUUCGUCAUGUAACUGGUUUGAGAAACCUCCGGACCUCAUCUCAAAUUUACUGUUUGACGAAGCUGUUUUGUAAUUGACGUAGGGCUUUGUAACUCUGUUUUUGAAAUGAAAUGAAUCUAUCGAGUACUUUUUCAGAAAAAGAAAAAAAAAAAACAACUACUGGCUAAAGAUGAAAAAAAGAAACGAGAUCAAGGUAGAAAUUCUCAGCAACAAUUUCUGUUCUAUAUGGUGAUUGUUACAACGAAACAAAAUUUACAUCAAUUAGCCCCAAGCAAACAUCAUCAUUUGCCGUAAUUUACAACCCUAAUCUUUGCUCUUGCUUUUGCGAAUGAAUCAUUCAAUUAAUUGUUGGGACCCCAGCAGCUCAAAAACAUGACUGUCCUCAAAGACUCCUCUGAUUUCUUGAGCUUCUCAUCUCUCACUUUACUCAGAGCUGAAGCAGAAGGAGAAGAGAGUUUGUUGUUAGCCUGAGAAAAUGAUCUCACUUGGCUCUUGGCUUGUUGGCCUGCAUAUCUCAAAGCAGAGUUCCAUCUGCAAAUCCCUUGGUCCUUGAGUGCCUCCACAACUCCAACACUUGCUGCCACUAUAGCCUUGCUUGCACUUGAACUCAUGAUUUCUUCUCUCUCCUUUCGAUAUUCUGAAUUCUUUUGGCAGUGAUUGUGAUGUUAAGUGUUUGAUGAAGGAUAUGAUCAUGAAGUGCUCUUUAUAUAGGAAUUAGAAAGGGUGGGCCUUUCCACCAGUAACUAGAGGCGGUUUAGAGAGUGUAAAGCCAAUGGUAUAUAUUUCUUUUCUACUCUUUGUGUCACACUCAUUGCCACUAACUGUACAAAUGAGCACACGGUUUUCCUUAUAAAAUCCAACUAAGCCUCAGGUAUGGGAGGAAACACCACUUGCUUUUGUUUGUUUUGGUGGGAAAUUGUCAAACUGUUUCCAAGACAAGAUAAUCUAUUCAAGCUAAACAACUAUAUCCCCUCUUUUUCUUUUCUUUUUUCUUUUUUUUGGGAUAAAAAUUAAUUAACUCAGAUUUCAAAGAUUUUAGAUUUCAUUUUUCUAAGUAGUGUUUUCCAUACAUCUCUUUUUACCUCAUACUCACUCUUAUUAGUUUUUGUUCAUUGAUCUUCCUCAUUCAUUCAAUCCAACGGCUGAAAAUUAAGAGAGUGUAUAAAAGGUAAAAUUUGGUGUAAGGAUAGCAUCGCCCUUCCUAUAAAUAUAUAUCUAAGAAAAUUGCUACUAAAAAAUUACUACGAAAACAAACUUAUUGAGAGUAUAAAUCUUACAUCACCUAAAAUAAGUCUUAUAUGAUGGUUUAAAUGAUUUUGGCAUCUCUCUCUUAUUGUGAGUUGUGUUCGGAUGGAUACUCACAUUCUAAUAUGAAAUCAAAGCAGGCUAUGCACUUGUUGAGUCAAGGGUCUACGUGCCCAUACGUUAGCUAAUUAAUGUGGCCAACGUGUUAGACUUAAAAUGACCCCACACUUCUUUGUUAACGAUUGCAAGAUCAUCAAAAAGUGGUGUAGUCUUUUCCUCGCGAUGCCUUUAUAGUAUUUCUCUGGAUGGAUUUGGAUUCUCCGGGUGCUGUAGUCUUUUUUAUGAGUUUGCAAUUGCAGUAUUUCUUAUAGCAUGAGUGGCCUCUCAUUCCUGAUCGAGAAGUUUCUCAUGUGGUUUUUCUUAAGCAAGGCUUCUUGUUGAGGAAUAAAUGUUAUUAUUCACUUUCUGAUGAUACCUGCUUCACUUCUUGAUUUUCAAGUGAUUUUAACCUUAAAUGAUUCUAGCCUUUCUAAAUUGCUCUCAAAAAAGUCAGCCCGGUCACUUAGCUACAAGCCUCAUACUUAAAUACUCUUGACUGCUUAAAUCAUCUUAAACAAUUUUAACUAUCUGAGUAGGCUUAAAUAUUCUUAACUACCUAAACAGGCUCCAAAUUACGUGUCCAAAUAGAAAUUACCUAACUAUGUUGAUAAAUUUCAAUGGAAAAGAGAGAGUAAACUGUUUGCAUUUCUGUCGCUCCAUGUCAUAGUACCAACUUUGGUGGGAAAUUUUACACAAUGUAAAUGAUUUCCAGAGUUCUUGCAUUCUCUCCUCAUCGCCCAUAUAUUGCGUAUGCUUGCACAGGCCUAUAAAUUUUGAAUAAAAAACGUUUGAAUACUGGCAAAUUGAACGCUAUUAUAGGAUGAUAAAUGUUCCACUCAGGACAAAGUAACUAGUGGCUAAGUGUGUCCUCUGCGGAAUCCUGGGUGAGUCUACAAUUCACCUUAUCCGCGAUUGUGCCUUUGCUAAGUGUGUCUGGCUUGCUACUCCGAUUGGUAUCCCUCCUUCUCCGCCUUACGUCCUCUCGAUGUUGGAUUGGAUUCUGAAUUGGACUUCUUACCUUAAUCUAUGGAACUUUGCUCUUGGUUUAAUGGUGCUUUGGGAAAUCUGGGGUGCACGAAAUAACGGUCUCUGGAAUGACCGUAUGGACUCUCCUGACAUCAUCGCUGCUCGGGGUCUCUCUUGGUGGCAAGAGUUCCAGAGAGUUGCUUCCCCCGCCCUCCCUGAGACUCGCUACUCGUCCCCAAGUCCCUCAUAGGUGGUCCCGUCCUCCUGCCCAGUUCUUUCGAGCUAGGGGGUUUUCAUAACGUUAUCCUCGAGAGUGAUUCACUCCAGAUUGUGACGCUUCUACAUAAUUCUUUAAAUUAUUUGUCCGACAUUGGACUCUUAAUUGAAGACUCGCGUGUGAUCCUGUCUUCAACCACUGGAGCUUAUGCUACCAUGUUCGUCGCCAAGUCAAUCGUAUUGCUCAUCGCCUUGCACGGUUUGCCUUUACUUCAAGUUGGUCAUGUCACUGGUUUUCAUAAACCUCCGGACCUCAUCUCAAAUUUACUGUUUGACGAAGCUGUUUUGUAAUUGAUGUAUGGCUUUGUAACUCUGUUUUUCAAAUGAAAAGAAUCUAUCAAGAGCUUAAAAAAAUAAAAAAAUAAAAACUACUGGCUAAAGAUGAAAAAAGAAAAGAGAUCAAGGGCGAAAUUCUCAGCAACAAUUUCUGUUCAUGGUAAUUGUUACAACGAAACAAAAUUUACAUCAAUUAGCCCCAAGCAAACAUCAUAAUUUGCCGUAAUUUACAACACUAAUCUUUGCUCUUGCUUUGCGAAUGAAUCAUUCAAUUAGUUGUUGGGACCCCAGCAGCUCAAAAACAUGACUGUCCUCAAAGACUCCUCUGAUUUCUUGAGCUUCUCAUCUCUCACUUUACUCAGAGCAGAAGCAGAAGGAGAAGAGAGUUUGUUGUUGGCCUGAGAAAAUGAUCUCACUUGGCUCUUGGCUUGUUGGCCUGCAUAUCUCAAA